rnacentral:rRNA from 1 species
UUACAAUGGAGAGUUUGAUCCUGGCUCAGGAUGAACGCUAGCGGCAGGCUUAAUACAUGCAAGGCGAAGGGGCAGUAAUGUCACUGUCGUACGGGUGCGUAACGCGUAUGCAACCUACCUAUCACUGGGGGAUAGCCCGGGGAAACCCGGAUUAAUACCGCAUAAAACAGGGGCACCGCAUGGUGAUAUUUGUUAAAGAUUUAUUGGUGAUAGAUGGGCAUGCGUUCGAUUAGCUAGUUGGCGGGGUAACGGCCCACCAAGGCGACGAUCGAUAGGGGAGCUGAGAGGUUGAUCCCCCACACGGGCACUGAGAUACGGGCCCGACUCCUACGGG